rnacentral:rRNA from 1 species
GAUGAACGCUGACCGAAUGCUUAACACAUGCAAGUCUUUGGCGAAGCUGUGCUUGCACAGCCUAGCCAAGGCGGACGGGUGAGUAACGCGUAAGGAACUUGCCCUGCAGUCAGGGAUAAAAGACGGAAACGACUGAUAAGACCUGGUAAAGUCAGGCGGACUCAUGUCCAGCCUGAUGAAAAGAGAUGCUGCAGGAGAGCCUUGCGUCCUAUUAGCCUGUUGGUGGGGUAACGGCCCACCAAGGCGAUGAUAGGUAGCCGGCCUGAGAGGGUGGACGGCCACAAGGGGACUGAGAUACGGCACUUACUCCUACGGGAGGCAGCAGUGGGGAAUAUUGGACAAUGGGGGCAACCCUGAUCCAGCAAUUCUGUGUGCACGAUGAAGGUUUUCGGAUUGUAAGGUGCUUUCAGCAGGGAAGAAAAAAAUGACGGUACCUGCAGAAGAAGCGACGGCUAAAUACGUG